AGGACGAACGCUGGCGGCGUGCUUAACACAUGCAAGUCGAGCGGGAACCUCGGGAGGGGUAACCCUUCCGAGGGGAGAGCGGCGAACGGGUGAGUAACACGUGGGCAACCUGCCCCGGACACCGGGAUAACCCAGGGAAACCUGAGCUAAUACCGGAUACUCCGGCACGAUCGCAUGAUCGUUCCGGGAAAGCUCCGACGGUCCGGGAUGGGCCCGCGGCCUAUCAGCUUGUUGGUGAGGUAACGGCCCACCAAGGCGACGACGGGUAGCUGGUCUGAGAGGACGGCCAGCCACACUGGGACUGAGACACGGCCCAGACUCCUACGGGAGGCAGCAGUGGGGAAUCUUGCGCUAAUGCGCGAAAGCGUGACGCAGCGACGCCGCGUGGGGGAUGAAGGCCUUCGGGUCGUAAACCCUUUCGACCGUAGGGAAGAAGGGAAACUGAACGGUACCUGGAAGAAGAAGUACCCGGCUAACGUACGUGCCAGCAGCCGC
rnacentral:rRNA from 1 species